UUGCUCCUUUGACGUUAGCGGCGGACGGGUGAGUAACACGUGGAUAACCUACCUAUAAGACUGGGAUAACUUCGGGAAACCGGAGCUAAUACCGGAUAACAUAUUGAACCGCAUGGUUCAAUAGUGAAAGGCGGCUUUGCUGUCACUUAUAGAUGGAUCCGCGCCGUAUUAGCUAGUUGGUAAGGUAACGGCUUACCAAGGCAACGAUACGUAGCCGACCUGAGAGGGUGAUCGGCCACACUGGAACUGAGACACGGUCCAGACUCCUACGGGAGGCAGCAGUAGGGAAUCUUCCGCAAUGGGCGAAAGCCUGACGGAGCAACGCCGCGUGAGUGAUGAAGGUCUUCGGAUCGUAAAACUCUGUUAUCAGGGAAGAACAAAUGUGUAAGUAACUGUGCACAUCUUGACGGUACCUGAUCAGAAAGCCACGGCUAACUACGUGCCAGCAGCCGCGGUAAUACGUAGGUGGCAAGCGUUAUCCGGAAUUAUUGGGCGUAAAGCGCGCGUAGGCGGUUUUUUAAGUCUGAUGUGAAAGCCCACGGCUCAACCGUGGAGGGUCAUUGGAAACUGGAAAACUUGAGUGCAGAAGAGGAAAGUGGAAUUCCAUGUGUAGCGGUGAAAUGCGCAGAGAUAUGGAGGAACACCAGUGGCGAAGGCGACUUUCUGGUCUGUAACUGACGCUGAUGUGCGAAAGCGUGGGGAUCAAACAGGAUUAGAUACCCUGGUAGUCCACGCCGUAAACGAUGA
rnacentral:rRNA from 1 species